rnacentral:rRNA from 1 species
UACAGAGGGUGCGAGCGUUGUUCGGAAUUACUGGGCGUAAAGGGCGCGCAGGCGGUCUUGAAAGUCAGGCGUGAAAGCCCCGGGCUUAACCUGGGAAUUGCGCUUGAUACUCUGAGACUGGAGUACGGGAGAGGAGAGUGGAAUUCCCAGUGUAGAGGUGAAAUUCGUAGAUAUUGGGAAGAACACCAGUGGCGAAGGCGGCUCUCUGGACCGUAACUGACGCUGAGGCGCGAAAGCGUGGGGAGCAAACAGG